GGAAUAAUACAAGGUGUUGGAUAUUGACAGCGUUCUCGCUCUAAUCCGCCAUCUUGGCUCCCUUAGCUAUAUCGGUGUUUCCCUCUUGAAAAAACUACAUUUUAUCGCCUUUAAAAAAGUACUAAACUACCUCAUUCCCUAUUCCAAAACUGAUUUGCAAUCACUGAACAAUUCUUUGACAUUUACUCUAUUCUUAUCGUUGGCAACUGAAAAUUAAAUUAGAAAUUUCAACAUUAAUUCGGCAAAAAAACAUCGGUUUAGAGUUCUCCCCAAGGAUUUGUAGUUAUUUUGGUCGGUGCUUCCUUCCGCUGCAAUUCCGUCUGUGGUUCACUGCCACUGGCCUUGCUUUUUCAACGAUAUAACUGUUUUCUUGUGAUUUUUGCUGCUGCAAUCCCGUCUGUGGUUCACUGCCACUGGCCCUGCUUUUCCAACGAUAUAACUGUUUUUUUGGUAACUUCUACCGCUAAGACUUUGUUGCUUUUUCCCUUUUCCCUAAAAACAUAAUAGUGCUACAAAGCUCAAUAACAAUAUGGAAACAAAUGUUAAUAAGCCACAAUAAUAUUGACAAUAAAUAAGAUUUCACUACGA